GAAUAAUAAGAUAUUUGCAGAAUCGGUUCUUCUCCUCAAUAGCGGCGUUCGAUCCUUCAUCCCUCUCCCAUUAGAUGAUGAUCACAAAGUCCCCAAUCGGUGAUAAUCCUUGUAUGAAUCGGCGACGGAUUAAAAUCGACUCGCACCAUGAAGUAGUUUCACUCCAUUCAGCGAAAUACUACCUCUCGAAAACCCUAAACGGAUUUGUUCCUACACAUCGAAGAGUUUCUCCACAAAUCUAUACUAAAGAUCUGUUCUCAUCUGUACAAUAGCAGAUAUGAGGCAACAAAAUGAACGGAAAGGGCGCCGAUGAAAGCGGUGGAAUGUCAUAUGGGUUUGUAAACUAACAGAGGACGUAAACUGAAGGUAUUAUACUACUGAAGAAGGAGAUAAAAGAAAGGAAAGGAAUGCCAAGAAGAUCUUUUAAAAGCAUGGAAUACAAAAGAGGUUCAUUGAAACCCUAAAAAAAGCAGCUGCAUCCUCUCUACCCAAACGAAAAAGUGAGAUGAAAAUAUCGACACAGGCUGGUAUCUACCUACACAGAGCUUGGAAAGGUGCAGAAGAGUGAUUCAUCCAUGAGAAACUCUUCAGCUACACCUGCAGAUGUGGAAAAUCGGUGCUAAUCAAAAGGAACAGAUUUACAUGAUUCUGGAGCAGUGUUGUUAGGGUCGCGGGGCGCACCGGGUCGAUGAGGUGAAAAUUCGGGUCGCGGGUCGACGAGUCGACGGGGUCGAGAGACCCACAAAGCUAGACCCAUUUCUGAGCUGCCAUGGCCGACGAUCUUCUUCUUCCAGCCGCUCGCCCCAGCCGAUCGACCCAGCUGCUCGCCCCAGCCGCUCGCCCCAGCCGCCCCAGUGGCGACCCCUGAAUCUCGACCCACCCACCCACAAUGGGGCGACGUCGGUCUCGACCCUUGCGACCCGCGACCCAAGCGCGCUCGGGGCGCGAUUUUAACAACACUGUUCUGGAGCACAAUUUUGGAUUUUCAGAUUACCAAAUAUUUGAGGAUGAGAAACUAUGUAUCUCUACACAGUUUGAAGUGCAAAGGUUACCAAAGGAUUUAAGGAUGAGAAAUUUUGAAACUCUCACCGUCUAAGUGCAAAGGUUAUGAAUUUAUUUAAGGUACAUAUGGAAGGAGUGGUGUAUUAACAUGAGCACAACUAUCAGCAGCAUUGGGAACAUGGAAUUUACAUUGUUUAUUAAAUUUUCACAGAUUCACAUGUGCAGACACAAUUUCUGCAUUUAAUAGUGUAUUAUUUGUAAUAGAUAAACAACUAAAUGGACAAAAAAAAUAAGUACACAGCAACUCCCAUUUUUAAAAUGACCAUAAGGGUAAAUAAAGAUGCUUUGAAGUUUCCCGCCAAAAA